UGAAUCGUCCUCUCACAAGAACGGUUUCGGUUAAGGUCACGUGUUAUCGGAGUGUUUAUGGCGUUAAGUGCUGUUAUUGUGCUGUGCACUUUACGGAAACCAUGCUGAUGCUUCGCUGGGGUCAGGUGGUUCGUAAAAUAUGGCCUCUGGUGUCUUCGCUACCGGGGAAAGUAGGGUUAACGGACGAUAAGACUCUCAUUUGUUGGCCACGGUUUGAGCAGAGGGACCACUCUCCUAAUCUUCCAGAUGUCUGGAAUGACCAGAGUGGCCAUUGACAGGUUGAGAACCUUGGCUAAAUAGUC